CCUGAUGCAGCCAUGCCGCGUGUGUGAAGAAGGCCUUCGGGUUGUAAAGCACUUUCAGUUGUGAGGAAAAGUUAGUAGUUAAUACCUGCUAGCCGUGACGUUAACAACAGAAGAAGCACCGGCUAACUCCGUGCCAGCAGCCGCGGUAAUACGGAGGGUGCGAGCGUUAAUCGGAAUUACUGGGCGUAAAGCGCACGCAGGCGGUUUGUUAAGCUAGAUGUGAAAGCCCCGGGCUCAACCUGGGACGGUCAUUUAGAACUGGCAGACUAGAGUCUUGGAGAGGGGAGUGGAAUUCCAGGUGUAGCGGUGAAAUGCGUAGAUAUCUGGAGGAACAUCAGUGGCGAAGGCGACUCCCUGGCCAAAGACUGACGCUCAUGUGCGAAAGUGUGGGUAGCGAACAGGAUUAGAUACCCUGGUAGUCCACACCGUAAACGCUGUCUACUAGCUGUUUGUGACUUUAAGUCGUGAGUAGCGAAGCUAACGCGAUAAGUAGACCGCCUGGG
rnacentral:rRNA from 2 species